GAGUACGAAAAACAGCUCUGCUCCAAUCCAAGAGGUGGACAUAGAAAGGAAGACCCUGGAAAACAUGGGAAACUGAGUGUAAAUAGAGAGAUAAGACAGUGCUUAGGGAGAAGACUGAUGUUAUAAAUGCCAAGGGUCAUAUUUCUUGUUGAAACAAAUAAAUGAAGUCUUGCUGAAUGCUGGCGAACCUCACUGGGGCUAUGCCAAGGAAGACCGAGUCCUCUGAUAUAUGGAGAGCCAAUCCAGGGCACGGCAACAUAACAUCUCCAAGGCAAAAUGCAGCAGCAAGAUCUUCAGCCCUUGAGGAGUGCUCAUCUCCUCUCUGUGAAAUCCUCCUCAGAUUCAGCAGGUCAUCACACUUCCUUCAGCUGCCCUGUCUCAAGGCUAUCUUCCCCAAAGGCAUCCAGUCAUCGUGCAGAAACGGAGACCAAGAGCAGAGUUUGCUGCAGUCAUUAAUCACUUCUGUUGCUUUGGGGUAUGGCUGAAAUAUGUCAAAAAGAAACAUGGGAAGCAAGUACCAACCUCCCACCAGUUGCAGAAAAGUGAGAGCUGGACUUCAGCAUAGUUGAAUGGAAAGUGAAGUAAAUGGGCAAAAUCUCCCACACUAUAUCUAAUCCAAUUUUCUCAGAGAUGAGCUCAGAACAAAAUGGUGUUGUGGGGAAAUAUAGGUUGGUGUUGUUGAUAAAAACAUCAGUUUAACACUUAGAAAUACUCCUGUACCCACCCAGGAGAAAAGAUAAAGGCUUAAACCUUGCCCAUCCUUGUGACACUACAUAAAACCACAGUUUUGAAUCAUUCUGGCUCCCUUUCCUGUCCCAAAGUGGAUAUGUGGUGAUAAGAAUGGGAAUAGAAGAGGCCAAAGAGGAGACAUAGCAAAGCUGCAAAGUCGAGGAAUCAUAGAAUCAUUAAGGCUGGAAAAGACCUCUAAAAUCAUCAGGUCCAGCCCCAACCCACCCUCACCAUGUCCACUGACCACGUCCCUCAGUGCCACAUCUCCAUGGUUCUUGAGCACCUCCAGGGAUGGUGACUUCACCACUUCUCUGGGUGAUGUUCAAAUGGGACUUUCAAAAUUAGUUGAGACUUCUACUGUGCAUUCAUUGUCACGAGACACAGAGUGUUUGGAUUCUCUGUCUGGAAAGAAGUUGGAAAUGAACAAUUUCAAAUGUCUUCCCACAGAGAAACCUGGAUCCACUGGGCUCCUUGGGUGCAUUCAGGCCACGUGAAUAACUGAAGGAAGCACACAUGAAAUGCUUUUGUAAUAAAGCUAUUAUAAGCUGUGAGAGGCAGUGACCAGCUAAUCAGCCAUUCCUCUGCCAUUUUAUGAUCUGAACGAACUUUUAUAUAGCUUUGUUGUGUUUUCAAGUCAUCGUACAACUAAUUGAUGCAAUUAACAUCCCAUCCCUCUUUUUACACUGGUAAUCAUAAGGCAGUACCAGGCCUACAAAGAAGAACAAUAGGACUGGGAUUUUUCAUGUCAAAUAAGGAAAAUAAUUGUCCUUCGAGUAUCCAUAAAAGCACAGACCACUCCAUAGAGAAUAUGAAAUGAAACCUUCCACACUGUGUGUGGGAGAGGAGG
ensembl:lncRNA